GCCUUGCUCAAUCAACCAAGGUUCGAUUCUUGGUCCUUGCAUAUUUCCAAAAUAUUUUGCUAUCCCUUUUCUCCUUUCCUUUCUUUCUUCUGAUCCACCUCCUGGAUCGUUUUCAAUUUCUAACCUAAGCUCCUCUCUCCUCUCACCUCCGCCCCCUCUCCUCAAAUCAAACUCCACAACGAGCCACCAAAUUCCGAUCUUCCCACCACCAUUCAUGUGCCGUUCGUCACAGACUCAACCAGGUGGUGGCGGUGCUGCGUUCGAGCUGAAUCGUUUCUUCGACGGCGGAUUUUUUUUCCUGUUGGAACACCAAGACGCAACUCAAUUUCAGUUGGAGUUGAAGCUUUGAUUUUUUGGUUGGAGUUGAAGCUUUGGUAAUUCUACAGGAACUCAAAUGGCCAUUUGUAUCAGUGUUUAGAGUUUGUCUUGCCUUUAAGAAGGAUUAGGGGAAGACGACGUUGACUCAACGAGUUCUGUUUUACACUGGACGAAUUACCAUUCAGUGAUGCUACUUACUGCAGCUGGAAGGGGUAUCAGGUUUGAAAAAUUAUGGCUGAAGGAGAGGAAGACAUGCCCAGGGAUGCAAAGAUUGUGAAGUCAUUAUUAAAAUCUAUGGGUGUUGAGGAGCAUGAGCCCCGCGUUGUGCACCAGUUUCUGGAGCUAUGGUACAGAUAUGUCGUCGAUGUCUUGACGGAUGCACAAGGUUACUCAGAACAUGCAGGCAAAGGCACAAUUGACUGUGAUGAUAUUAAGCUUGCUAUCCAAUCAAAAGUGAAUUUCAGAUUCUCACAACCGCCACCUCGGGAGGAUUGAACGAUCCUGAAGAGAAGAUGAGAUUACUUCAGUUAGAGCAAGAGGAGGCUGCGAGAAUGGAGAGGGAGCGACUAAAGGUUAAGGAGCGAGAAAGGUAGUUUCUGCAAGCGUUGGAGAUGGAGAAGAAGAGGAAGAACAACGCAAAUUCGAAGAAGAAGAAUCUUAGAGAAGGCUGGCUAGGGUUGAUUCUCAAGAGAUUCACUUUCUACCUUUCAACCCCACCGACAAAAGAACAUCAUGAUAAGGAUGGUAAAAUGCAUAAGGUCAGCAAAGGUGCUCCAGAACAGAUAUUGAUUUUGUCUCACAAGUCACAAUAAGUCAGACAUAGAACGAAGAGUUAUUAUUUUAUUGACAAGUUUACUGAACAAGGCUUGCGUUACUUGCUGUUGCAUAUCAGGUUAUUUUCUAUCCAUAGAGAAAGUAACAUGUUGUAAAUAGGAGACCUAUAUUACAUUAAAAAUGGUUGACUACUAUAAUAAUCUAUACACGUAAUUUCUGGAAGCUCUAGAGUGGAGGAAAGAAAUUCUUGGAGGUCCAUGGCAAUUCAUAGGCCUCGUGCCUCUCUUUAGUG